rnacentral:rRNA from 1 species
UUUCGAAUCAUUCACAAUGGGCGAAAGCCUGAUGGUGCGACGCCGCGUGAGGGAUGAAGGUCUUCGGAUUGUAAACCUCUGUCACCGGGGAGGAAACGCUUCAGGUUAAUAGUCUGAAGCCUGACUUAACCCGGAGAGGAAGCAGUGGCUAACUCUGUGCCAGCAGCCGCGGUAAUACAGAGACUGCAAGCGUUAUUCGGAUUCACUGGGCGUAAAGGGUGCGCAGGCGGCCGUGUGUGUGAGGCGUGAAAGCCCGGAGCUUAACUCCGGAAUUGCACCUCAAACUACACGGCUAGAGCAUUGGAGAGGGUAGCGGAAUUCACGGUGUAGCAGUGAAAUGCGUAGAUAUCGUGAGGAACACCAGAGGCGAAGGCGGCUACCUGGACAAUUGCUGACGCUC